AAAGUAAUACUAUAUUAAAUACCUGAAUUACAUAUUUACCACAUGCACACCGUCAUACAUGAACUGGAUUUAAGCUGGUAAGAACCUUUGGGACCUGAGAUUUCUAGUUUCAGGACAGGGUUUGUUUUAAUUCACAGGCCUGGCUGUUAAGGACAUUGGAUCUUGGCUGUGUCUCGUGUUGCCCGUGAGGCUCAGGGCUCUGCAGAAUUAGGUCAGCUCUGAUUUCUCUGGGGAAAGAAACCACCACCACACAUCAGAAAAACAAACCACCAAAACCUGUUUCAAAUCCCUCUGAACCCUUCAGAAUACUGGGUGUGUGCUGUGGUCCUCCGUGGUAAGAGACAACAUGAUUAAUGUUACUUCAGCAAAGUUUGUGUAGUGUCUCCUAGGAACAGUAGUUUCUGCAUCACUGCCUUAUGCCUAAGUUUGGCAAGGUUAAGAGAAACGCCCUGAAUUUGUUCAAAGAAGCCUUUCAGGUGGUACAAUGGAAUAAAUGAAUACAAAAAAUACAGGAUUCUCAUUUUAUACUUGCAUUAAAAACAGCUAAUUGCAUACUGA